GGCUCUCCACCGGUCUAGCCCGGUCCUCACACAGGUCUCUGUCAGCGGCUCCCGGGAGCGGCCCCGGCUGCCGGAUGCUUCCGCCCCGGCUGCGGCGGGCUGGGCUGGACGCUUAGUGCCCGGCUCGUGCCCUACCAGAAGUGCCCGCGGGGGUGGCAGCGGCCUCCACCCCGCGGAGACCGAGCGGCUGGAGGACGAGGCGACGGCCGCCGUAAGGAGGAUGGGGGCUAACCAGUUAGUGGUGCUCAACGUGUACGACAUGUACUGAAUGAAUGAAUACACAUCAUCUAUUGGAAUUGGAGUUUUUCGUUCUGAAAUUGAAGUGUAUGGCAGAGAAUUUGCUUAUGGUGGCCAUCCUUACUCUUUUUCUGGAAUAUUUGAAAUUUCCCCAGGAAAUGCUUCUGAACUAGGAGGAACAUUUAAAUUUAAAGAAGCUGUUGUUUUAGGGAGUACGGACUUUCUAGAAGAUGAUAUAGAAAAGACUGUAGAAGAACUGGGGAAAGCCUACCAUUUGAUGCACAAAAACUGCACUCACUUUUCUUCAGCUUUGUCAGAGAUUCUUUGUGGGAAAGAGAUUCCUCGCUGGAUCAACCGACUGGCCUACUUCAGCUCCUGUGUACUCUUUCUACAGAGUUGCCUCCCAAAGAGUGGCUCACUCCUGCUGCACUGCAGUCUAGUGUCAGCCAAGAGCUCCAGGAUGAACUGGAAGAAGCAGAGGAUGCAGCCGCAUCCGCCGCCAUGGCAAGUGCUGCAGCUGGUGCCAGAACUGGGCGUCACACUCAACUAUGAGCAUCUCCAAAGUCACACCUUCAGAACUGUCUCUGGCAGUUGAAUAUCACUAGAGAAAAGAAAAUAAAGUAAAUGUCCUCUGGAUAUUUUGUAUGCAAAGAUGGCUCUCCCCCAAAUCCCAGUUUUUCAGCUCAGGAUUAUCUUUGUAGUCAAAAA